CACGUAGGCGGCUUGGUAAGUCAGAUGUGAAAGCCCGGGGCUUAACCCCGGAAGUGCAUUUGAUACUGUCAGGCUUGAGUAUGGGAGAGGGAAGUGGAAUUCCUGGUGUAGAGGUGAAAUUCGUAGAUAUCAGGAGGAACACCGGUGGCGAAGGCGACUUCCUGGACCAAUACUGACGCUGAGGUGCGAAGGCGCGGGUAGCAAACA
rnacentral:rRNA from 1 species